UACGUAGGGGGCGAGCGUUGUCCGGAUUCAUUGGGCGUAAAGGGCUCGUAGGCGGUUUGUCGCGUCGGGAGUGAAAACUCAGGGCUCAACCCUGAGCGUGCUUCCGAUACGGGCAGACUAGAGGUAUGCAGGGGAGAACGGAAUUCCUGGUGUAGCGGUGGAAUGCGCAGAUAUCAGGAGGAACACCGGUGGCGAAGGCGGUUCUCUGGGCAUGACCUGACGCUGAGGAGCGAAAGCAUGGGGAGCGAACAGG
rnacentral:rRNA from 1 species